rnacentral:tRNA from 1 species
GCCGGCGUGGCGCAAUUGGUUAGCGCGUCAGACUUUUACGAUAGAAAGAGUAUCUGAAUGUUGCGAGUUCGAGUCUCGCCGUUGGCG